rnacentral:rRNA from 1 species
UACAGAGGUCUCAAGCGUUUGUUCGGAUUCAUUGGGCGUAAAGGGUGUGUAGGUGGCGCGCUAAGUCGGGUGUGAAAUUUCGGAGCUUAACUCCGAAACUGCAUUCGAUACUGGCGUGCUUGAGGACUGGAGAGGAGACUGGAAUUUACGGUGUAGCAGUGAAAUGCGUAGAUAUCGUAAGGAAGACCAGUGGCGAAGGCGGGUCUCUGGACAGUUCCUGACACUGGAGAACACGGAAGGCCAGGGGAGCAAAACGGG